UGGGGAAUAUUGCACAAUGGGCGAAAGCCUGAUGCAGCAACGCCGCGUGAGGGACGACGGCCUUCGGGUUGUAAACCUCUUUUAGCAAGGAAGAAGCGAAAGUGACGGUACUUGCAGAAAAAGCGCCGGCUAACUACGUGCCAGCAGCCGCGGUAAUACGUAGGGCGCAAGCGUUAUCCGGAAUUAUUGGGCGUAAAGAGCUCGUAGGCGGUUUGUCGCGUCUGCUGUGAAAACCCGAGGCUCAACCUCGGGCCUGCAGUGGGUACGGGCAGACUAGAGUGCGGUAGGGGAGAUUGGAACUCCUGGUGCAGCGGUGGAAUGCGCAGAUAUCAGGAAGAACACCGAUGGCGAAGGCAGAUCUCUGGGCCGUAACUGACGCUGAGGAGCGAAAGGGCGGGGAGCAAACAGGCUUAGAUACCCUGGUAGUCCACCCCGUAAACGUUGGGAACUAGUUGUGGGUCCAUUCCACGGAUUCCGUGACGCAGCUAACGCAUUAAGUUCCCCGCCUGGGGAGUACGGCCGCAAGGCUAAACUCAAAUGAAUUGACGGGGUCAUAGCUGUUUCCU
rnacentral:rRNA from 1 species